rnacentral:rRNA from 1 species
CUGCGGACGGGUGAGUAACACGUGGAUAACCUACCUAUAAGACUGGGAUAACUUCGGGAAACCGGAGCUAAUACCGGAUAAUAUAUUGAACCGCAUGGUUCAAUAGUGAAAGACGGUUUUGCUGUCACUUAUAGAUGGAUCCGCGCCGCAUUAGCUAGUUGGUAAGGUAACGGCUUACCAAGGCAACGAUGCGUAGCCGACCUGAGAGGGUGAUCGGCCACACUGGAACUGAGACACGGUCCAG